rnacentral:tRNA from 2 species
GAGGCUUUAGCUUAAUUAAAGUGUCUGUUUUGCAUGCAGAAGAUGUGGGUUAGUUUCCCGUAAGUCUUA